AGAAUCAACGCUGGCGGCGUGCCUAACACAUGCAAGUCGCACGAGAAAGGGUAGCAAUACCUGAGUACAGUGGCGCACGGGUGAGUAACACGUGAAUAAUCUACCUCCGAGUGGGGAAUAACUGAGAGAAAUCUUAGCUAAUACCGCAUAAUACCCACGGGUCAAAGCAGCAAUGCGCUUGGAGAGGAGUUCGCGGCAGAUUAGUUAGUUGGCGGGGUAAUGGCCACCAAGACGAUGAUCUGUAUCCGGCCUGAGAGGGCGCACGGACACACUGGAACUGAAACACGGUCCAGACUCCUACGGGAGGCAGCAGUGGGGAAUUUUGCGCAAUGGGGGAAACCCUGACGCAGCAACGCCGCGUGGAGGAUGAAGCCCCUUGGGGUGUAAACUCCUUUCGAUCGGGAAGAUAAUGACGGUACCGAUAUAAGAAGCCCCGGCUAACUUCGUGCCAGCAGCCGC
rnacentral:rRNA from 1 species